UGUGUUUCCUUUAAAAUAUUUAACAGUCUGGACGUGCCCAGUAACAGAGGUACCAAAUGAAGUUCAGCAGUACUGUAUUUCUAUGAUUAAAAGACCGGCCGU